AUUGAACGCUGGCGGCAUGCUUUACACAUGCAAGUCGAACGGCAGCGCGGGCUUCGGCCUGGCGGCGAGUGGCGAACGGGUGAGUAAUAUAUCGGAACGUACCCAAGAGUGGGGAUAACGUAGCGAAAGUUACGCUAAUACCGCAUACGAUCUAAGGAUGAAAGCAGGGGAUCGCAAGACCUUGUGCUCCUGGAGCGGCCGAUAUCUGAUUAGCUAGUUGGUGGGGUAAAGGCCCCACCAAGGCAACGAUCAGUAGCUGGUCUGAGAGGACGACCAGCCACACUGGAACUGAGACACGGUCCAGACUCCUACGGGAGGCAGCAGUGGGGAAUUUUGGACAAUGGGCGCAAGCCUGAUCCAGCAAUGCCGCGUGAGUGAAGAAGGCCUCGG
rnacentral:rRNA from 1 species